rnacentral:rRNA from 1 species
UAGGGAAUCUUCCGCAAUGGACGCAAGUCUGACGGAGCAACGCCGCGUGAGUGAAGAAGGAUUUCGGUUCGUAAAACUCUGUUGUUAGAGAAGAACAGCGCAUAGAGUAACUGUUAUGCGUGUGACGGUAUCUAACCAGAAAGCCACGGCUAACUACGUGCCAGCAGCCGCGGUAAUACGUAGGUGGCAAGCGUUGUCCGGAUUUAUUGGGCGUAAAGCGAGCGCAGGCGGUUAGAUAAGUCUGAAGUUAAAGGCAGUGGCUCAACCAUUGUAGGCUUUUGAAACUGUUUAACUUGAGUGCAGAAGGGGAGAGUGGAAUUCCAUGUGUAGCGGUGAAAUGCGUAGAUAUAUGGAGGAACACCGGUGGCGAAAGCGGCUCUCUGGUCUGUAACUGACGCUGAGGCUCGAAAGCGUGGGGAGCGAACAGG